rnacentral:rRNA from 1 species
AACGAACGCUGGCGGCAUGCCUAACACAUGCAAGUCGAACGAGACCUUCGGGUCUAGUGGCGCACGGGUGCGUAACGCGUGGGAACCUGCCCUUAGGUUCGGAAUAACUCCCCGAAAAGGGGUGCUAAUACCGGAUAAUGUCUUCGGACCAAAGAUUUAUCGCCUUUGGAUGGGCCCGCGUUGGAUUAGCUAGUUGGUAGGGUAAAAGCCUACCAAGGCGACGAUCCAUAGCUGGUCUGAGAGGAUGAUCAGCCACACUGGGACUGAGACACGGCCCAGACUCCUACGGGAGGCAGCAGUGGGGAAUAUUGGACAAGGGGCGAAAGCCUGAUCCAGCAAUGCCGCGUGAGUGAUGAAGGCCUUAGGGUUGUAAAGCUCUUUUACCCGGGAUGAUAAUGACAGUACCGGGAGAAUAAGCUCCGGCUAACUCCGUG